rnacentral:lncRNA from 1 species
AUGCCUGCAAUGGGAGAAGGAGAAUUUAGCCAAAGGGACCAACAAGAAGGUAGAGAUAAGGAAGACGCUCCACUGAUCCAUGUAGUUUUCUUUCUGCGUGUUUGCUCUGGAAAUGGUGAAGGAGUUGAUGUUGAAGGAGAUGCUCUGCUCAGUAAAGCUCCAGGAGCACCAGCUAAGGACCUGGCUCAUUGUGAACUUCCCUUGAUUCUAAAAUCAUCAGACACAUAGAACACUUUUACAGACAAAUGAAGUGGAGAAGCAAACUCUGAGUGCUUUUCAGUCCAGGUACCUUGGAGGAGGAAUAUCUGGCACCAAAUUCCUAUAGAUCAGAAGGUGUUUACUGACAGUGGACUGUUUUGCGGAAGAAGUGGUUUUUUGGAAUAUUUGUAAGUUCUGCAUGUAUAUUUGAAUAGCAUGGUUGUUACUUAUUUGUAAACUCUCUUUAGGUUUAUUAUAAAUUGUGAUGUGGUUAGACAUUCUGUCAGAAAUAUUCCCUUAUUAAAUGUAUCAAACUUCAAUGUACAUAGGAUUCAAAGAGUUCAAGUAGGUCAUGCAUUUUUUAGGAUAGAUAAUAUUUACUUUUUUUAAAGAAUCCUUCUACAGAAUUUUGAGAUUAUUUCCCUUGCAAAUUGAUACUCAUGAGGAAAUGCGGCUUUGUCUUCAUUAUCAAAGGUACUAUCGACAGGGUUUAGAAACAAAAGCACAUAUAAUGACUAAAUCAAGUUUGAGCAAAUUGCCAGAGAGACAGGAUUGAGUCUAUUCUGUGGAUUUUAAUAUUGCACCUAUUCUGUGGAAAAUGAGUGAUUCCAUUUUCCAUAGCCAUUUCUCUGACAUUUUUGGCUCAAUCAACAUUAAUUUAAAUAAGACAAAAAAUUAAAAUUAUAAAUGGCUAUAUUCCCAGUGUAUUUUUUUCCAUUUACUAUAAAGCUAUUUUUAUAACUUUUUCACUGAAGUAAUUGUUCUUCAGUUCUUUUAGUAUCAUAUUCCAGAUGGAAAUAUUUUUUAUAUAUAAUUUCUUAUUUAUAGAACAAUUAAGUUAAUAAGUUAUUAUGUUAUUCUUUCAGAGUGAUUCUAAGGACACAAAGGACUUGAGAGGUGAGCUCAGAGGACAGAGCAAGUUAAACUGUAGUCAUUAGUAUUUCAUCUAUACUAUGCUGUUUUGCUUCCAAUAACCCUAAAUGUGCAAGUUUGCAAAUUGAAGUUUUCUUUACAUGUAUGUUGUACCAAA